UGCAAGUCGAACGGCAGCACGGGGGCAACCCUGGUGGCGAGUGGCGAACGGGUGAGUAAUAUAUCGGAACGUGUCCUGUAGCGGGGGAUAACCUAUCGAAAGAUGGACUAAUACCGCAUACGACCUACGGGUGAAAGCGGAGGACUCUCGGGCAACUGAGGGCUUCGCACUAUAGGAGCGGCCGAUAUCGGAUUAGCUAGUUGGUGAGGUAAAAGCUCACCAAGGCGACGAUCCGUAGCUGGUCUGAGAGGACGACCAGCCACACUGGAACUGAGACACGGUCCAGACUCCUACGGGAGGCAGCAGUGGGGAAUUUUGGACAAUGGGCGCAAGCCUGAUCCAGCCAUGCCGCGUGAGUGAAGAAGGCCUUCGGGUUGUAAAGCUCUUUCGGCGGGGACGAAAUGGUUCGUGCUAAUACCACGGACUGAUGACGGUACCCGCAGAAGAAGCACCGGCUAACUACGUGCCAGCAGCCGCGGUAAUACGUAGGGUGCAGGCGUUAAUCGGAAUUACUGGGCGUAAAGCGUGCGCAGGCGGUUUGUUAAGACAGAUGUGAAAUCCCCGGGCUUAACCUGGGAACUGCGUUUGUAACUGGCAGACUGGAGUGUGGCAGAGGGGGGUGGAAUUCCAAGUGUAGCAGUGAAAUGCGUAGAUAUUUGGAGGAACACCGAUGGCGAAGGCAGCCCCCUGGGCUAACACUGACGCUCAUGCACGAAAGCGUGGGGAGCAAACAGGAUUAGAUACCCUGGUAGUCCACGCCCUAAACUAUGUCAACUGGUUGUCGGGGAAGCAAUUCCUUGGUAACGAAGCUAACGCGUGAAG
rnacentral:rRNA from 1 species